GCCGGUACAAAGGGCUGCGAGCUCGCGAGAGUCAGCGAAUCCCUUAAAGCCGGUCUCAGUCCGGAUCGGAGCCUGCAACUCGACUCCGUGAAGUCGGAAUCGCUAGUAAUCGUGAAUCAGAAUGUCACGGUGAAUACGUUCCCGGGCCUUGUACACACCGUCGACGCGGCCGAGUACGUGGAGGCAAGGCACGACCAGGGAUAGG
rnacentral:rRNA from 1 species